AUUGAUAAAUAGAAUCAACACAAUAUGAUAAUGAAGAAAAACAGAUUGUUAUGGGUAAUACACAUAAGAAUAUAAAUGGAUUGAAGAAAAACAUCAAAUACAUGGAAACUGAGAGAAGAGUGUAUAUUUAGGAAAUCUAUUUUAUUCUAAACCCCAAGAAUAUUAUUGGAAAUUCUAAAUAUAUAUAUAUAUAUAUAUAUAUAUAUAUAAAUAUAAGCCUUAUAUACGUAUGAAAUUUUUUUAUACUAUAUACAAAACCCCUCAUGUGUAUAAUAUAGAAAACUUUUUUUAUUUAUAUUUGGAUAAAAGAUUCUAUGGAAUAUUAAAUGUUAUGAGAUAUGAAGAAAAAUAAUUUAUAUUUAAGAAAUAUUGCCCUUAGAAGUUUUGUCUUAAUAUUGUUUUGCCAAAACUUUUAAUUUAUUUUGAUAUUUCUGAAAGAAUAUAGUUUUAAUCGUGUGUCUUAAAAGUAUAUAGUGUGUUAGUCAUGUUUUUCAAAAGAAUAUAGGUUAGUUUUAAUGUGCCUGAAAAGAAAUAAUACGAUCAGUAUUUUUUUGAGGAUAUAGUUUAUUUUGAUGUACUUUUGAGGAUAUAGUUUUUUUGAUAUUUUGGAAAGAUUUAAUAUAUGGUUUUUUCAUAAUUAUAUAAAGGCAUUACAUUAUUCUGUGUUUCUUAGAUUAUAUAUUUUUUUUAGUGUUUUCAAGUUUUCAUAAUAAUUUAUGCAUAUAUUUUUUUAGUUUUUUUUUGUUCAUGGAUUCAUUCGUUGAACUCGUUUAUAGUAAAUGUUAUUAUAUGUACAAUAAAAAAAAAAAAUAAAAAGUAAAAAUAUAAAAAAUAAUAAAAAAAAAAAUAAUAAAAUAAAAAAUAAAAAAUAAAAAAAUAAAAGUAAAUUAUUCAUAUACAUUAUGCUUUUUUUUCUUAAUACAUAGUCUUUUUUUUUUAUACAUAGUCUUUUUUGCUUAUACAUAGUCUUUUUACAUAUACAUAGCUUUUUUUUCUUAUACAUAGUCUUCUUACAUAUACAUAGACUUUUUUUCUUAUACAUAGU